rnacentral:rRNA from 1 species
UACAGAGACUGCAAGCGUUAUUCGGAUUCACUGGGCGUAAAGGGUGCGCAGGCGGCCAAGUGUGUCAGGUGUGAAAUCCCGAGGCUUAACCUCGGAACUGCGCCUGAAACUACUUGGCUAGAGUACUGGAGAGGGUAACGGAAUUCACGGUGUAGCAGUGAAAUGCGUAGAUAUCGUGAGGAACACCAGAGGCGAAGGCAGUGUUCUGGGCCAGUACUGACGCUGAGGAGCGAAAGCGUGGGGAGCAAACAGG